rnacentral:rRNA from 1 species
GACGAACGCUGGCGGCGUGCUUAACACAUGCAAGUCGAACGGAAAGGCCCUGCUUUUGUGGGGUGCUCGAGUGGCGAACGGGUGAGUAACACGUGAGUAACCUGCCCUUGACUUUGGGAUAACUUCAGGAAACUGGGGCUAAUACCGGAUAGGAGCUCCUGCUGCAUGGUGGGGGUUGGAAAGUUUCGGCGGUUGGGGAUGGACUCGCGGCUUAUCAGCUUGUUGGUGGGGUAGUGGCUUACCAAGGCUUUGACGGGUAGCCGGCCUGAGAGGGUGACCGGGCAGAUGGGGGCAGCAGAGCGACCACGGCCCCAUCGGGGGGGAGGAGGGGGGAAUGUUGGAAAAGGGGGUGAAGGCUGUAGACGGCACGCCCCGGGGGGGAGGGGGGGCUUUGGGUUGUAAACCGGUUUGCCCCGUGAAGAAGGGUGGGGGGAGGUAAUGGGAUAAAAAGACCCCGAAAACUCACGGC